CCAAACCCACUUUCCUCAAACUUCACCUUGCUUUCGUUCUACAAUUGUAGCUCACUCUCAAUCUCAAUCUCGUUCUCAAUCACAAUCUCAGUAAAACCAUUUUCAUCCGCGUUGCAGCUCACGAUUUCAUUUGAAUUUUCACUUUGCUUCCAAACGGAAUCCAAUUAUAGGUGCUGCAUUUUCUGAAAUCUAUAGUGCAUCUCCGUUGCUCGUUCAGUGGCUUUGCAUCUCCGUUGCGGGUGAAAUGGAGUAAUUGGUGAAUGAAGCAAUUUCUGAUUUUAAGAGUAGUUGCGCUACAAUGGCAAAAUAUGGAGUGGUACAAUUCUAAUUGUUGCUCCUCUCGGAAGUGAUUGAUUGUGUUAGCUCUUGCAUUGAGUUCCUUUGAGACAGAACUGAGGUUAUAUUUCAUUGGAUGUUUCCACCUUCAAAAGAUGAAGAAAACAUCAAUCAAGAGUAAUAGUUCGGAUGUACACACCACCCAUAAUGUAAUAUGUUAUAUGAUGUAAUAUGAACAUGAUAUAAUAUGUUUCAUUGUUGACGAUUUUGAGUUUGAUUUAAGUUUGUAUUAUUGUUAGGCAUGUUGUAAA